AACAAGCCUCUGGCUGGAAGGGGACUAUUUUCGUCAGAAGUUAAAGGGGCAGGAGAAUGGACAACACAGAGCAGCCUUCUCCAAACUUCUCUCUGGCGUUGAUGACAUUUCCAUAAAUGGGGUCGAGAAUCAAGACCAGCAAGAACCCGAACCGUACAGUGACGACGACGAAAUCAAUGGAGUGACACAAGGUGAUAGACUUCGGGCCCUGAAAAGCAGAAGACAAUCAAAAACAAACGCUAUUCCUCUCACAGUAAUUCUUCAAUCCAGUGUUCAGAGCUGUAAAACAUCUGAACCUAACAUUUCUGGCAGUGCAGGCAUUACUAAAAGAACCACCAGAUCUGCUUCAAGGAAAAGCAGUGUUAAAAGUCUCUCCAUUUCAAGGACUAAAACAGUCUUGCGUUAAGUAAAAACCUGUGACCAGAGCUGAAGGAAGACUCUAGGAACUGAAAACUGCAGCAGAAAUUAGCACAAUUUGAAAACAAAACAAAAUUGCAAAAGCCUUAGUUGCUUUCCACCUAAGAAGUCGAUCAAUGGAGAAAGUGUCCGCUGGAGUUUCGAUAAUGAACUUUGAGUUUGGGUGCAAGCGAAGGACUCAGAGAAGGGCCCAGCUCUCAAGCUGAACGACAAAAAUGCUGUUGUAAAUUUAGUCUCAGGUGUAAAUACCCAGCCCUCUGGUUCCCAGGGAGCUGGCUGCUCUGAGGUGCACGUGUGUCUCUGUGAUGGCAAUCAUUGUAGUUGCUGGCCUUCAGAAGAAUUGAGGAUCUGAUGGAGGUUUUUUAUGUAUUUAUUUUCUGUUCACCUUGUGACCCUGUGUCAAAAUUUGUAAAGAUACAAAAGGCAUUAAUUACUGAGAUGGUACUUUCUGUAAUUUGAUACUAUUUGGCUUAAUCAUCUUCACCUAUUUGUAAUACUGUUGUAAUGUUAACUCUGUUAAGUACCCAAGCUGCUUGUCUUCCACCAAAGAGUGCUUUAUUAACAAGAAUCUGUGAAAACCACAUUUAAAUACUGUUGCAUGUUGUAAGACCAGAUGGUUACCUUGGUAACCUAAAACUUGCAAGAUAAUAUUAAUGGUAGCUUUAGAAGACUCAGGAGGAGAAACUGACUUCAGAAUUGGAAGAUGUUGCAAGUCAUCCCUUUUUCUGUCCUUUAGGGACUGAAGAACUGGGAGGCUGCCCAUUGUUUGGUGCCAGUCAUACAAAUUAAAAUCAUAUUUCCUUCCUUGCAUGGAAGAAACACAGUCAGUUAUUCCCCUUGGAAACAGCAAUCCCAAAUAAUGUCGGCUUAAAAAAAGUUAACCGCUUUUUAGAGUCCUUCUCUGUAACAUUGGAUUUUUUUUUUUUUUUUUUCUCCUUAUGAGAUCAGUCUAAGGCCAUUGACGCAGCCUGCGAUCUCAGUGACAAUGAUCUGCUUGUGGAUCUCACUGUUGCCUUUGGUUAGGGAACACAACUAGUAACUCUGCAGAGUGCCUUCUCCCCCUACCCUACUGGAACACAGCAGAGUCUGUGCCAUGAAGCAGUUACAGAAACAGAAUUGAUUUGCUGCUUAAAAAAAAAUAAAAAAAAAAAAAGGCGGGGGGGGCCAAAAUAAAAGAAUAUUUAGUACUCACCUCGGUUCCUUCCACAAGAAGUGGGUGGUUUAAUGAUUGUUAACCCAUUUUUGCCUGUGCUGGGAGCAUGGAGGGCCGAGAUGUUGACAGGCAGUAAGAAGCAAACGCCCUCCUAAGCCACAAGGCGUGCGCCAGAUCUAGUAGGCAACUCCAUUUUAAGAAGCUGCCUUUUUCACAAAACUUCAAGAAAUUAAAGCAGUUGGAAGAAACAAGUUAAAGUCUUCAAUGCAGGAAGGAAUUGAAAGGCAGUGCCUCCAUUUUGGUGCACUUUCUUGGAAGAAAGUGUGAAAGUAACCGGCAUCAGGAGAGAUGGAAGAUGCCGUGUUCUCAGCCAAACAAGCGACUCUUUCCCCGCCAGGCACUAUGGGGUGGGGUCAGGCCAGCUUUUCAACACUGGGGACUGGAUCACAGAAAAACAGUGGUUUUCUGUCCCUGGAAAUGAAUAGGCACAAAGACCCCCUUGGCUGUGGGAAGACCACUCUUCAAUAAGAUGUGGGUGGGAGGAGGUACAUUCCUUUUGCUGUUUUGAGCUGAGACAAUGUAAAUAUUCAAACUGUGCCAUGCAUAAAGCAUUGAAUUCUCAGGGCACCUCUUCUUCCCCUUACCCUUUUAAGGCCAUCCGCUCCAUAAAUAAUAAUCCAGGUAGUUGUGAAAAUCGCGCUUCUUAGUCUGGCUUUUCGUCCCGUCAGAACAAGUAAAUGUAGGCGCCACAGCUCUUGUGAGUACGGUCUCCCUCACGGUGAACAAGCCUCCUGGUGUUUCGUCCAAGAAAAGGAAGGGUGUCAGCGGGACCACAGUCCUUCUUCAUUUUAUAAACUGCCUCUUCAUGUUGCCUGCUCAAGUUUCCACCUAUAAUUGCUAUCACUGUGGCUCUUUCUAAAAAUCCUUCUAUUUAACUGGUUCACUGAAAUUAGUCAUAGAAAACCUGUGAUUUGGUGAAGAAGCAUUC